rnacentral:rRNA from 1 species
GUGCACCAGUCGAGAAACCUCCGCAAUACACGAAAGUGUGACGGGGCCAUCCCGAGUGCCGUCCGCUGAGGACGGCUUUUCCCCAGUGUACACAGCUGGGGGAAUAAGGAGAGGGCAAGCCUGGUGUCAGCCGCCGCGGUAAUACCAGCUCUCCGAGUGGUGGGGACGCUUAUUGGGCCUAAAGCAUCCGUAGCCGGCUGGGCAAGUCCUCCGUUAAAUCCAACGAUUCAAUCGUUGGGCUGCGGGGGAUACUGUCCAGCUUGGGGGCGGGAGAGGCCGACGGUAUUCCCGGGGUAGGGGUGAAAUCCUAUAAUCCCGGGAGGACCACCAGUGGCGAAGGCUGUCGGCUAGAACGCGCCCGACGGUGAGGGAUGAAAGCUGGGGGAGCGAACCGGAUUAGAUACCCGGGUAGU